UUUAAUGAGAGUUUGAUCCUGGCUCAGGACGAACGCUGGCGGCGUGCCUAAUACAUGCAAGUAGAACGCUGAGGUUUGGUGUUUACACUAGACUGAUGAGUUGCGAACGGGUGAGUAACGCGUAGGUAACCUGCCUCAUAGCGGGGGAUAACUAUUGGAAACGAUAGCUAAUACCGCAUAAGAGUAAUUAACACAUGUUAGUUAUUUAAAAGGAGCAAUU
rnacentral:rRNA from 1 species